GACGAACGCUGGCGGCGUGCCUAAUACAUGCAAGUCGAGCGGGCCUCCGGAGGUGCUUGCACCUCCGGAAGGCCAGCGGCGGACGGGUGAGUAACACGUGGGCAACCUGCCUUUGAGGCCGGGAUAACACCGGGAAACCGGUGCUAAUACCGGAUACGUCCUCUUUCGCGCCUGCGAGAGGGGAGAAAGACGGUCUUUAAGGCCGUCGCUCAAAGAGGGGCCCGCGGCGCAUUAGCUUGUUGGUGGGGUAAGGGCCUACCAAGGCGACGAUGCGUUGCCGACCUGGGAGGGUGAUCGGCCACACUGGGACUGAGACACGGCCCAGACUCCUGCGGGAGGCAGCAGUAGGGAAUCAUCCGCAAUGGGCGAAAGCCUGACGGUGCAACGCCGCGUGAGUGAGGAAGGUUUUCGGAUCGUAAAGCUCUGUUGUGAGGGAAGAACAGCUUCCGGAGGAAAUGCCGGAGGUUUGCCGGUACCUCACCAGAAAGCCCCGGCUAACUACGUGCCAGCCGCCGCCGUAA
rnacentral:rRNA from 1 species